ACAUUGGUGGUUCUGUGAUAGAAUUCUCACCUUCCAUGUGGGAGACCUGGGUUCGAUUCCCAGCCGAUGCA
rnacentral:tRNA from 1 species